GCCAGCAUCCUAGCCGAAGCGCGGACCUCAGUCCCGGCUGGCCGUAUUACACCCUGGGCUAUAACACCUCCACCGAAGUGGAGGCCACAUUCCCAGAGCCUUUAUCCGGCCGCCGAAACUGAUGCUGGCCUGUCCAAACUGAGUAAACCGGUCAGAAGACCGGCCGAACAGUUUAAACAAGUCUGAUUGCAAGCGCUUCCCUUUCAACAAUUUCACGUGCUUUUUAACUCUCUUUCCAAAGUGCUUUUCAUCUUUCGAUCACUCUACUUGUGCGCUAUCGGUCUCUCGCCAAUAUUUAGCUUUAGAAGAAAUUUACCUCCCAUUUAGAGCUGCAUUCCCAAACAACUCGACUCGUCGAAGGAGAUUUACAUAGGGUGCCAUUUCCUGUCACAUACGGGAUUCUCACCCUCUAUGACGUCCUGUUCCAAGGAACUUAGACAGGCGGCUUCCCCAAAUCAUCCUCUACAAAUUACAAUGCGAACCCGAAGGCUAGCUUUCAAAUUUGAGCUGUUGCCGCUUCACUCGCCGUUACUAGG
rnacentral:rRNA from 1 species